rnacentral:rRNA from 1 species
GGAAUUUUCCGCAAUGGGCGAAAGCCUGACGGAGCAACGCCGCGUGAGGGAUGAAGGCCUCUGGGCUGUAAACCUCUUUUCUCAAGGAAGAAGACCUGACGGUACUUGAGGAAUAAGCCACGGCUAAUUCCGUGCCAGCAGCCGCGGUAAUACGGGAGUGGCAAGCGUUAUCCGGAAUUAUUGGGCGUAAAGCGUCCGCAGGCGGCCGUACAAGUCUGUCGUUAAAGCGUGGAGCUUAACUCCAUUUGAGCGAUGGAAACUGUAAGGCUUGAGUGUGGUAGGGGCAGAGGGAAUUCCCGGUGUAGCGGUGAAAUGCGUAGAUAUCGGGAAGAACACCAGUGGCGAAGGCGCUCUGCUGGGCCAUAACUGACGCUCAUGGACGAAAGCCAGGGGAGCGAAAGGGAUUAGAUACCCCUGUAGUCCUGGCCGUAAACGAUGAACACUAGGUGUCGGGGGAAUCGACCCCCUCGGUGUCGUAGCCAACGCGUUAAGUGUUCCGCCUGGGGAGUACGCACGCAAGUGUGAAACUCAAAGGAAUUGACGG